AACGAACGCUGGCGGCAUGCCUAACACAUGCAAGUCGAACGAGACCUUCGGGUCUAGUGGCGCACGGGUGCGUAACGCGUGGGAACCUGCCCUUAGGUUCGGAAUAACUCCCCGAAAGGGGUGCUAAUACCGGAUAAUGCCUUCGGACCAAAGAUUUAUCGCCUUUGGAUGGGCCCGCGUUGGAUUAGCUAGUUGGUAGGGUAAAAGCCUACCAAGGCGACGAUCCAUAGCUGGUCUGAGAGGAUGAUCAGCCACACUGGGACUGAGACACGGCCCAGACUCCUACGGGAGGCAGCAGUGGGGAAUAUUGGACAGUGGGCGAAAGCCUGAUCCAGCAAUGCCGCGUGAGUGAUGAAGGCCUUAGGGUUGUAAAGCUCUUUUACCCGAGAUGAUAAUGACAGUACCGGGAGAAUAAGCUCCGGCUAACUCCGUG
rnacentral:rRNA from 1 species